rnacentral:rRNA from 1 species
CUACGACGGGUACGGGUUGUGAGAGCAAGAGCCCGGAGAUGGAUUCUGAGACACGAAUCCAGGCCCUACGGGGUGCAGCAGGCGCGAAAACUUUACAAUGCUGGCAACAGCGAUAAGGGAACCUCGAGUGCCAGGUUACAAAUCUGGCUGUCGAGAUGCCUAAAAAGCAUUUCAUAGCAAGGGCCGGGCAAGACCGGUGCCAGCCGCCGCGGUAACACCGGCGGCUCGAGUGGUAACCGUUAUUAUUGGGUCUAAAGGGUCUGUAGCCGGCCGGAUAAGUCUCUUGAGAAAUCCAGCAGCUCAACUGUUGGGCUUUCAGGAGAUACUGUUCGGCUCGAGGCCGGGAGAGGUGAGAGGUACUUCAGGGGUAGGGGUGAAAUCUUGUAAUCCUUGAAGGACCACCAGUGGCGAAGGCGUCUCACCAGAACGGACCUGACGGCAAGGGACGAAAGCUAGGGGCACGAACCGGAUUAGAUACCCGGGUAGUCCUAGCCGUAAACGAUACUCGCUAGGUGUCGGCCACGGUGCGACCGUUGUCGGUGCCGUAGGGAAGCCGGAAGCGAGC